AUUGAACGCUGGCGGCAUGCCUUACACAUGCAAGUCGAACGGUAACAGGUUAAGCUGACGAGUGGCGAACGGGUGAGUAAUGUAUCGGAACGUGCCCAGUCGUGGGGGAUAACUGCUCGAAAGAGCAGCUAAUACCGCAUACGACCUGAGGGUGAAAGCGGGGGAUCGCAAGACCUCGCGCGAUUGGAGCGGCCGAUAUCAGAUUAGGUAGUUGGUGGGGUAAAGGCCUACCAAGCCUACGAUCUGUAGCUGGUCUGAGAGGACGACCAGCCACACUGGGACUGAGACACGGCCCAGACUCCUACGGGAGGCAGCAGUGGGGGAAUUUUGGACAAUGGACGCAAGUCUGAUCCAGCCAUGCCGCGUGCGGGAAGAAGGCC
rnacentral:rRNA from 1 species